rnacentral:rRNA from 1 species
GUGGAUUUGAUACCCCGGUAGUCCACGCCGUAAACGAUGGACACUAGGCGUCGGGGGGAGCGACCCUCCCGGUGCCGUCGCUAACGCAGUAAGUGUCCCGCCUGGGGAGUACGGCCGCAAGGCUGAAACUCAAAGGAAUUGACGGGGGCCCGCACAAGCGGUGGAGCAUGUGGUUUAAUUCGAAGCAACGCGAAGAACCUUACCUGGGCUUGACAUGCACGGGAAAGCCGGUGGAAACAUCGGCCCCUCUUCGGAGUCCGUGCACAGGUGCUGCACGGUUGUCGCCAGCU